GUUCCAGUUGUUGUAACAAGCUUGAUGGCAUUAUCAGACUUCUAGAAAAGUUGCUCAACAACUCUGAUACAGUCAUGAUAUAACAAGAAUGUUACAAAGUUGAUGCGACAAGGUUGUAACAAUAUUGUAUAUCAUGACUGUAUUAGAGCAACCUUGCCACAAGUCUGAUAAUGUCAUCAAGCUUGUUACAAGUUGUUAAC
rnacentral:miRNA from 1 species